AAACAAGAGGAACCAGAAACCUGGAGAAUAAAACAAGAGGAACCAGAAACCUGGAGAAUAAAAAAAGAGGAAUCAGAAACCUGGAGAAUAAAAAAAGAGGAAUCAGAAACCUGGAGAUUAAAACAAGAAGAACAAGGAGUGCGACACAGUUGAACAGUCAAUAGCAAAUACUUAAACUAAUGACAAAACAUACUUACAGUAGCUGAUUCAGAAGCAUUUCGACACAGCAUUCAACUUACGGUAAUCUACACAGAAUCGGACUGAGCCGUCCGUUUUCGGAACUAAAACGAUCGGGCUCGCCCAGUUACUAUUAGAUUCUUCUAUUACCCCCAUGUCAAGCAUAGUGCCUAAUUCAGCCUGAACUACUUUUUUCUUGUGCUCAGGUAAACGAUACGGCCGGCUACGAACUACCACGCCUGGCCCGGUAUCGAUAUGGUGCUGAAUCAGGUUAGUACGGCCCGGUAGGGACGAGAAGACGUCGGCAAACUCUGCCUGCAAUUUCGUUAAAUCAGUGAGUUGGGACGGCGAGAGGUGAUCUCCACCUGGAGCCAGGGCGAGGGAUUGUGGUUUGAUAUUCGCCUCUGGCCCGAGAUCAUCCUCUCCGCAAUCACCAUUGCCAACAUCACUGAUUCCGCCUCAUUCCAUUUUUUAAGGAGAUUGAUGUGGUAGAUCUGACCGGACCCGUUCCUAUCGGACCGUAUUACCUCCUAAUUGAGAUCUCAGACCUGUCGUGCGAGCUCAAACGGUCCCUGCCACUUAGCCAUUAAUUUGGAGCUUGACGUUGGGAGUAAUACAAGUACUUUCUCUCCCGGUGCAAAUUUGCGUAACCUAGUUCCCCUGUUAUACAGCUGGCGGUCCUGGGCUUGUAACAAAUUCUCCAUUGAUAGCCGCCCCAAUGUGUGGAGUUUUGUUCUCAAGUCCAGCACAUACUGAAUUUCGUUUUUGCCCUGAGAUGGUCCAUCCUCCCAAGUUUCUCUCAGUACGUCGAGCACUCCCCGGGGCUGGUGUCCAUAGAGAAGCUCGAAGGGGGAAUACCCCGUGGAGGCUUGCGGGACCUCUCGCACAGCGAAUAACAAGGGCUCUAGCCACCUAUCCCAAUUUUUGGCAUCUUCGUGAACGAACUUACAUAUCAUGGAUUUAAGUGUGCGAUUAAAUCGUUCGACAAGGCCAUCGGUUUGUGGGUGAUAGACGCUAGUUCGAAUCGAUUUAAUGGCCAACAAUCCGUACAGUUCGCGUAGUGUACGUGACAUAAACGCCGUGCCCUGAUCGGUGAGGAUUUCUUUUGGGUCCCCCACCCGGGAGAUAAGACGAAACAGGGCAUCCGCAACACUUUUAGCGGAAAUGUUGCGGAGGGCCACCGCUUCAGGAUAUUGCGUUGCAUAAUCAACUAUGACUAAUGCAAAGCGAUGUCCUCGUGCCGAUCAUUCUAAUGGCCCGAUGAGGUCCAUACCAAUUCUCUCGAAGGGGACCUGCAUUAAGGGAAGAGGGCGCAAAGGUACUUUGGGGGCGGUCGGUGGGUUUACCAACUGACUUUCCGGACAAGACGCGCACCACCUACGCACGUUGUCAUGAAAGCCAGGCCAAAAGAAAUGGGCCAUGAGGCGAUUUAGUGUUGUGGCCUGUGACAAAUGGCCCGUCAUAGGAUUAGAAUGAGCAGCCUGAAAAAAAAAUUCCCUGCGGCCCUUUGGAAUUAACAACUGGGUCUUUUAAAAUGGCAAAAUACGGAUAGGAGAGCGGGAGGGCAGGUUGGAGAGACUGGCCAUCGAUGGCGCGGACCUGUUGAAACGCAUGUUUUAGUGACUCAUCUUGAGACUGCUCCAGAGAAAAGUCAUCGUCAGAUUUCGUUCGUUUCCCCUGAAGCAGACCCCCGCGGCCCUGGCUCAGUUUGUCCGACCUGUACCCGGGUGGUCUCCUUCUGUGCCUUAUUUCCCCAAGAGGCAUCCGCACAUAACGACCCCAAUAACACCGUAAAAACUGGCCAAUUCGUUCCCAAAAUUAUCUGAUGCCGGAGGUGGGGACUAACCGCCACCUCUACACUAUGCUUUGUGUCCCCGGAAUUUAAUGCUAAUUGGGACAACCGGAUACUCCACCACAUCCCCGUGUACGCACUGCACAUUAACCGCCCGGCUUGUAUCCAAUGCCCCCGGUUGAAUCAGGCUUUGAUGGAUUGAGGUUUAGUUACAUCCUGAAUCCACCAAGGCCGGAUAUGUACCCCCCUUGAUAGCACUUGAUGGUAUUUGGUACUCGCCAGCCUGACCGGGGGUGACCUGUGGGACGUCCGGGACCCGGAUCAUCGUCCCCACCUCCAUCGCUGGACACCUGUCCACGAAAUGCCCCGGGUCCCCCCCUGGGCGGGGCCCUGGGACUCGUGAAAUGGCCUUGGUCAGAUGCGACGAGGAGGGCCGGGUGGAUGGGACCUAGGGAGAGGAACAGGGGGCGAGAAAGAGAGGGGGGAGAGAGAGAAGGAGAGAGAGAAGAAGAGAGAGAGUUAGUAGGUGGGGGUGCGCCGACCCCUGGGCACGCCACCAUGUGGUCCUCCAUCUUUUUGGGAAGCCGAGCGAUGAACUGCUCCAGCACCACCAGGUCGACGAGAUGCUCCACGUCGCUUCCCUCGGCUAGUAGCCACUUGCGGCAGGAGUCCCGGAGCUGUUGGGCCAUCGAGAAGGGUCGACCGGCUUCGCCCAAGUCCAGGGACCGGAACCGCUGGCGGUGUUGUUCGGGCGACCGGCCAACCCGCUGGAUGACGGCCCUCUUUAGGUCGUCAAAGACCAGUAGGUUCGCCACCGGAAGUUGUUGGGCGGCCACCUGGGCCUCUCCGGAGAGCAGGGGAAUGAGGCGCACCGGCCACUGCUCUCGGGGCCACCCACAGGCCUCUGCCGACUUCUCGAAUAGCUCCAGGAAGGCCUCCGGAUCGUCCUGAGGCCCCAUCUUGUGCAGCGGUAGAUGCAUGGGCGCGGCGGGUGGCCUCGGCGCGAACCUCCCGAUCAAUCCAGCUCCGGAACCUCUCCCGGUCCUCCUGCUGGGCCUGGACAAUGGCCUGGAAACGCCUCUCCUGAUCAGUCCUCAGGUCCAGCAGGGCCUGGUGUUGUUCGCGGUGAAAGACCGCGAGGGAGGCGAUGAUGUCCGCAAGCGGCGUGGCGGCCGGACUUUGCAUGGUGGCGGCGACGGUCCUACUUCCUCCCGGGUUUCAGCACCAGUGUAGCAAAGUUCGUGGGAUGGAAGGAAGAGGACAAAGGGGUCGGCUGGACUGCUGACAGAUUUAUUAUAAACAAAAAGAACUAAAAAGUACAAACACCCAAACAGUGACUCUUAUUCUGACACUUCAACACUACUUCCGUUUCACUCUUUCCGAUUUCUGUUUCCGGCUCACGACAGCAGUCCGUCUGUCUCUUGCUUGCUUCCGUCUCUCCUGGCAUUUUAUACUCUCUCCACGCCAAUUACUAGAACAAGAAACAGGUGAUGAUAAUUUUUGCCCAAACCACUCACUUACCGCUAUUCUCCUGAUUCUCUCUCCCGCUGCAGACUUCGCUAAACCACGCCCCGCCUGCCACAAUUGGUAUGGGCGAUAACCGUGAUAUUCAAAGGAACAAUUAUCGAUAUGUGUUAAUUUUGUUUGUGAUGAUAUACCGGUAAUAGCGAUAAUCACAAUAUUUAAAAAAUAACAGUUCUCUCAUGAUGACACCACACCACAUGUAAAUACUCCAGCUUCACUACCUGUUUGAGCUCCCAGGUGGCAGUAUUGUGCCUUAACACUGACACCUGUCAUAAAAGAAGAUGACGCAGGACUCGCAGCCACUGUGAGGAGAAAUUGUGUUCAUCAGAAUGGAAACACAAAACAUCUCCCUGACUGCUUCGACACUAACUGCGGUUAGUGAAACCACGCCUUGUUUCUUUGCUUAAGCAUUUGGACGUCAUUACACAAAUAUUUUCAUAUAGUAAUAUAUCUCGCCCCCUUGGAAUUAUAAGGUUCUAUCUGCAUUCCAAGUAGUUUUGAGAUAUUGAAAAAGUUUUUGCAUUCCAUUCGACUGUGUAGAUAGAACCUUAUUGUUUUUUAAAUAAAAAUCCAAUAAUGUAUACAACAUAAAAAAUCUAUCAUAUUAUGUAAAUAUGUAGUCACUGAAUAACAAUAUGGGAAUAACUCAAUUUUGACAAAAAUGUCAAAUAGAACCUUAUAAUUCCAAGGGGACGGUCUACCAUAUUUUUCGGACUAUAAGUCGCACCUCAGUAUAAGUCGCAUCAGUCCAAAAAUACGUCAUGAUGAGGACAAAAAUAUAUAUAAGUCACACCGGACUAUAAGUCGCAUUUAUUUAGAACCAAGAACCAAGUGAAAACAUUACCGUCUACAGCCGUGAGAGGGCGCUCUAUGUCCUUAGUGUAUACUACAGAAGCUCUGAGCAGCAUAUUUGGUGCCUAAACUAAUUUACCUAACAUUGUUCGGGAGUCAGACACACUCUUGCAGUUUAAAUCUAGAUUAAAGACCCAUCUCUUUAAUCUGGUUUACACAUAACAUACUAAUAUCCUUUUAAUAUCCAAAUCCGUUAAAGGAUUUUUAGGCUGCAUUAAUUAGGUAAACCGGAACCGGAAACACUUCCCAUAACACUAUAUGUACUUGCUUCAUCAUUAGAAGAAUGGCAUCUACGCUAAUAUUUGUCUGUUUCUCUCUUGUUCCGAGGUCACCGUAGCCACCAGAUCCAGUCUGUAUCCAGAUCAGAGGGUCACUGCAGUCGCCCGAGCCUGGUUUCUCCCAAGGUUUUUUUUCUCCAUUCUGUCAUCGAUGGAGUUUCGGUUCCUUGCCGCUGUCGCCUCUGGCUUGCUUAGUUGGGCACACUUCAUUUACAGCGAUAUCGUUGACUUGAUUGCAAAUAAAUGCACAGACACUAUUUAAACUGAACAGAGAUGACAUCACUGCAUUCAAUGAUGACCUGCCAUAAAAUGUCAUUUUACAUUAUUGACACACUGUUUUCCUAAUGAAUGUUGUUCAGUUGCUUUGACGCAAUGUAUUUUGUUUAAAGCGCUAUAUAAAUAAAGGUGACUUUAUUUGGCAUAGUGA